GCUUAACACAUGCAAGUCGAGCGGUAAGGCCCUUCGGGGUACACGAGCGGCGAACGGGUGAGUAACACGUGAGCAACCUGCCCCUGACUCCGGGAUAAGCGGUGGAAACGCCGUCUAAUACCGGAUACGACCCGCCACCUCAUGGUGGAGGGUGGAAAGUUUUUCGGUCAGGGAUGGGCUCGCGGCCUAUCAGCUUGUUGGUGGGGUAACGGCCUACCAAGGCGAUUACGGGUAGCCGGCCUGAGAGGGCGACCGGCCACACUGGGACUGAGACACGGCCCAGACUCCUGCGGGAGGCAGCAGUGGGGAAUAUUGCGCAAUGGGCGAAAGCCUGACGCAGCGACGCCGCGUGGGGGAUGACGGCCUUCGGGUUGUAAACCUCUUUUACCACCAACGCAGGCUCCCAGUUCUCUGGGGGUUGACGGUAGGUGGGGAAUAAGGACCGGCUAACUACGUGCCAGCAGCCGCGGUAAUACGUAGGGUCCGAGCGUUGUCCGGAAUUAUUGGGCGUAAAGAGCUCGUAGGCGGCGUGUCGCGUCUGCUGUGAAAGACCGGGGCUUAACUCCGGUUCUGCAGUGGAUACGGGCAUGCUAGAGGUAGGUAGGGGAGACUGGAAUUCCUGGUGUAGCGGUGAAAUGCGCAGAUA
rnacentral:rRNA from 1 species